AGGGCGUACGGCGAAUGCCUUGCCACUCGAAACUGAAGAAGGACGCGCCAAACUGCGAAAAGCUCCGUGAAGCUGUAAGGAAGCGAAGAAGCGGAGGUGUCCGAAUGGGGGAACCCGGCAGCAGACAUGAGCUGUCAUCUGCAGGUGAAUACAUGGCCUGCAAGAGAGGUACCCGGCGAACUGAAACAUCUAAGUAGCCGGAGGAAAAGAAAACAACAGUGAUUCCCUGAGUAGCGGCGAGCGAAAGGGGAGAAGCCCAAACCGGUUGAAGGACCGGGGUUGAAGGACCAUGACAUGGCAAGAACGAGGAUAGGAGAACGGGAUCGAAAGCCCGGCCGAAGAAGGUGAAAGCCCUGUAACCGAAAUCCGAGUAAAGCCUAAUGGGAUCCUGAGUACGGCGAGACACGAGAAAUCUUGUCGGAAGCAGGCGGGACCAUCCGCCAAGGCUAAAUAUAAACGAGUGAGCGAUAGUGAACCAGUACCGUGAGGGAAAGGUGAAAAGAACCGCGGGAGCGGAGUGAAAGAGAACCUGAAACCGUAUGCCUACAAGAAGUCAGAGCCCGUUAAGGGGUGAUGGCGUGCCUUUUGUAGAAUGAACCGGCGAGUUGCGACAGACUGCGAGGUUAAGGAGGAAAGACCGGAGCCGAAGCGAAAGCGAGUCUUAAGAGGGCGAAAGUAGGAUGUUGCAGACCCGAAACCGGGUGAUCUAGCCAUGAGCAGGUUGAAGUUGAGGUGAAACUCAAUGGAGGACCGAACCGACUACCGUUGAAAAGUUAGCGGAUGACUUGUGGCUAGGGGAGAAAUUCCAAUCGAACCCGGAGAUAGCUGGUUCUCCCCGAAAUAGCUUUAGGGCUAGCGUCGGAAAGAACCUUAGUGAAGGUAGAGCACUGAAUGUGUGAUGGCCCCAUCCCGGGGUACUGAAUACAAUCAAACUGCGAAUGUCAUUAAGGAUGUCCGGCAGUCAGACUGUGAGUGAUAAGGUCCAUGGUCAAGAGGGAAACAGCCCAGACCGCCAGUUAAGGUCCCAAAAUACAGGCUAAGUGGAAAAGGAUGUGGGGAUGCCCAGACAACUAGGAGGUUGGCUCAGAAGCAGCCAUCCUUUAAAGAGUGCGUAACAGCUCACUAGUCGAGUGACCCUGCGCCGAAAAUGUACCGGGGCUAAGCCUGAUACCGAAACUGCGGAUUGUAGGAAACUAUAGUGGUAGGGGAGCGUUGUAUACGAGCAGAAGCCGUACCGUGAGGAGCGGUGGAUUGUAUAGAAGUGAGAAUGCCGGUGUGAGUAGCGAGAUGUAGGUGAGAAUCCUACACACCGAAAGCCCAAGGAUUCCAGGGGAAGGUUCGUCCGCCCUGGGUAAGUCGGGACCUAACGCGAGGCCGAAAGGCGUAGUGGAUGGAAAGCAGGCGAAAGAUUCCUGCACCCGUAUAUGGAGCGAAGGAGUGACGGAGACGGAUAGUGUGACCCUCUUAAUGGAUUGAGGGCGAAGCGAAGCGGCUGGUUACCAGGCAAAUCCGGUAACCAUAAGGCUAGAGCGUGACAGGUAAGCGAAAUCUUAGGAAAGUAGCGAAGCACAUGAUGACGGCUUCCAGGAAAAGCUUCUGGCAAUGCAUAUGCGGCCCGUACCAAAACCGACACAGGUGGGCAGGGAGAGAAUCCCGAGGUGAGCGAGAGAACUGUUGCCAAGGAACUCGGCAAAAUGACUCCGUAAGUUAGCGAGAAGGAGUGCUUAAGCAAUUAAGCCGCAGUGAAGAGGCCCAAGCGACUGUUUAACUAAAACACAGCUCUCUGCGAAGUCGCAAGACGAAGUAUAGGGGGUGACACCUGCCCGGUGCUGGAAGGUUAAGAGGAUCUGUUAAGAGCGAUCUGAAGCAGUGAUCCGAAGCCCCAGUGAACGGCGGCCGUAACUAUAACGGUCCUAAGGUAGCGAAAUUCCUUGUCAGGUAAGUUCUGACCCGCACGAAAGGUGUAACGAUUUGGGCGCUGUCUCGGCAGCAGACUCGGUGAAAUCUUAGUACCUGUGAAAAUGCAGGUUACCCGCAACUAGACGGAAAGACCCCAUGGAGCUUUACUGCAGCCUGAUAUUGAAUUCUGGUCAUACAUGUACAGGAUAGGUGGGAGACAAAGAGACGUGCACGCCAGUGUACGAGGAGUCGACGUUGGGAUACCACUCUUGUGUGACCGGGGUUCUAACCUGGUAUCGAGAACAGGUACGGGGAGAGUGUCAGGUGGGCAGUUUGACUGGGGCGGUCGCCUCCCAAAGAGUAACGGAGGCGCCCAAAGGUACGCUCAGAUUGGAUGGAAACCAAUCGUCGAGUGCAAUUGCAGAAGCGUGCUUGACUGUGAGACAGACAAGUCGAACAGGGACGAAAGUCGGGAAUAGUGAUCCGGCGGUGCCGAAUGGAAGGGCCGUCGCUCAACGGAUAAAAGCUACCCUGGGGAUAACAGGCU
rnacentral:rRNA from 1 species